rnacentral:tRNA from 1 species
GCGGUCGUGGCGGAAUUGGUAGACGCACUACCUUGAGGUGGUAGCGGGGCGACCCGUGGAAGUUCGAGUCUUCUCGACCGCA